GAACAGGAGUGUUUGACAUCAGAAAUACAAAGAAUUCAGAGACAAUUCACCUUUUAAAACGAAACCAAAAAACUAGAAGCAAAAAACAAAUUGUGCUUCAAAACAAAACUAGAAUGCACUGCUUUUAAAAGGUUGAAAUAUAGGAAAGGACAACUUUUUUCUAGGCGUUUAGUGAUUCGUUUAUUGUAACAUCGCUCACGAUGAUGUUCGGAGUUGAUCGGCAUGUUGUCGUACAUUAUCAUACCACGUGAUCUGCUAAGAUCACAUGGUAAUUAUUGCCUAUGAAACUAAUCUCAACGUUAAAAAAAAAUUUCUUUAGAUUGGUGGCGAUCGAAGGUGGACAGCAAGAUCGAAGCUCAGCAAGAUUGAAGAUUGUUCGAAGAAGAAGGUGUUCGCCGUUGACUAAAAGGUUUAUCUGAACAGCUAGUUGUCAAGAUGAAUGCGAAGACUCGCCCGGCCAAAUUCAAAAUGGCGAUGCCAAAGAAAACCAUCCACCUGGACCGUUCGCAGACCUUUCUGGGCAAGAUUGUUGUGCUGUCUGGUCAAACCAGUUAUCAAGACGAACGUCAAGAGAACAGUUGAAAUAG